rnacentral:tRNA from 1 species
GCCUGGGUGGCUCAGUCGGUUAAGUGACCGACUUUGACUCAGGUCAUGAUCUCACGGUUCGUGGGUUCGAGCCCCAUGUCAGGCU